ACAGCAAAAUCACUUUUUGAAAUGUGGAAGUAUAGAGCCUCUCAAAGCUUAAAUCAACUUCAUGAAUCCCUUUUAAGCCUUCUGUGUGCAUAGUAUGACUUACCAGAAGCAUUAGUGCAAAUCAGAAGCAUGUGGGAACAAACUACACCAAUAGACAGCCAUGUUUGCCUCCAGAGGAAAACAACAGAGCAGAUUUGAUAGUUUCUUUAUGGCUGCAGGAAAUAAAAUCCCAAGAAUAGAGAAAUUAAUAA